GGCUGGUCUGAUGGUAGUGGGUUAUCAGAACUUAUUAACAUUAUUGUCCCUAAAGUUGGUAUUCAACCCUCCACUGCUAAAUUUGACUGGCUUAAA
rnacentral:Y_RNA from 1 species